rnacentral:rRNA from 1 species
UGCGUAGGUCCCGAGCGUUAUCCGGAAUUACUGGGUGUAAAGGGAGCGUAGACGGUAAUGUAAGUCUGGAGUGAAAGGCGGGGGCCCAACCCCCGGACUGCUCUGGAAACUAUGUUACUAGAGUGCAGGAGAGGUAAGCGGAAUUCCUAGUGUAGCGGUGAAAUGCGUAGAUAUUAGGAGGAACACCAGUGGCGAAGGCGGCUUACUGGACUGUAACUGACGUUGAGGCUCGAAAGCGUGGGGAGCAAACAGG